rnacentral:rRNA from 1 species
GCUGGCGGCGUGCCUAAUACAUGCAAGUCGAACGCUUCUUUCCUCCCGAGUGCUUGCACUCAAUUGGAAAGAGGAGUGGCGGACGGGUGAGUAACACGUGGGUAACCUACCCAUCAGAGGGGGAUAACACUUGGAAACAGGUGCUAAUACCGCAUAACAGUUUAUGUCGCAUGGCAUAAGAGUGAAAGGCGCUUUCGGGUGUCGCUGAUGGAUGGACCCGCGGUGCAUUAGCUAGUUGGUGAGGUAACGGCUCACCAAGGCCACGAUGCAUAGCCGACCUGAGAGGGUGAUCGGCCACACUGGGACUGAGACACGGCCCAGACUCCUACGGGAGGCAGCAGUAGGGAAUCUUCGGCAAUGGACGAAAGUCUGACCGAGCAACGCCGCGUGAGUGAAGAAGGUUUUCGGAUCGUAAAACUCUGUUGUUAGAGAAGAACAAGGACGUUAGUAACUGAACGUCCCCUGACGGUAUCUAACCAGAAAGCCACGGCUAACUACGUGCCAGCAGCCGCGGUAAUACGUAGGUGGCAAGCGUUGUCCGGAUUUAUUGGGCGUAAAGCGAGCGCAGGCGGUUUCUUAAGUCUGAUGUGAAAGCCCCCGGCUCAACCGGGGAGGGUCAUUGGAAACUGGGAGGCUUGAGUGCAGAAGAGGAGAGUGGAAUUCCAUGUGUAGCGGUGAAAUGCGUAGAUAUAUGGAGGAACACCAGUGGCGA